GCUUGUCUCAAAGAUUAAGCCAUGCAUGUCUAAGUAUAAACAACUUUAUACUGUGAAACUGCGUACAGCUCAUUAUAUCAGUUAUAAUUUAUUUGAUGGUGAUUUACUACAUGGAUAACCGUGGUAAUUCUAGAGCUAAUACAUGCGUCAAGACCUGACUUUUCGGAAGGGUUGUGUUUAUUAGAUAAAAAGCCAAUCCAUGCUCUGCAUGGUAUUGUGGUGACUCAUAAUAACCGAUCGAAUCGCAUGGCGUAAGCCGGCGAUAAAUCAUUCAAGUUUCUGACCUAUCAGCUUCCGACGGUAGGGUAUUGGCCUACCGUGGCUAUGACGGGUAACGGGGAAUUAGGGUUCGAUUCCGGAGAGGGAGCCUGAGAAACGGCUACCACAUCUAAGGAAGGCAGCAGG
rnacentral:rRNA from 1 species